AUUGAACGCUGGCGGCAGGCCUAACACAUGCAAGUCGAGCGAGCGGCGGACGGGUGAGUCAUGGAUGGGGACUGCCCGAAAGAGGGGGAUAACUACAGGAAACGGCAGCUAAUAACGCAUACUAUCGGAUAAUCAAGAUGGGCUUAGCUAGUAGGUGAGGUAAUGGCUCACCUAGGCGACGACCCCUAGCUGGUCUGCGCGGAUGAUCAGCCACACUGGGCCUGAGACACGGCCCGGACUCCUACGGAGGCAGCAGUUGGGAAUCUUGCGCAAUGGGCGCGAGCCUGAUGCAGCCAUGCCGCGUGUCUGAAGAAGGCCCUAGGGUUGUAAAGUCCUUUUAGUCGGGAGGCGUUACCGACAGAGGAAGCACCGGCUAACUCCGUGCCAGCAGCGGCGGUAAUAC
rnacentral:rRNA from 1 species